rnacentral:rRNA from 1 species
ACGUCUACAUUAGAUACCCGGGUAGUCCAGGGUGUAAACGCUGCAGACUUGGUGUUGGAAGCCCUUUGGGGGCAUUCAGUGCCGGAGAGAAGUUGUUAAGUCUGCUACUUGGGAGUACGUCCGCAAGGAUGAAACUUAAAGGAAUUGGCGGGGGAGCACCGCAACGGGAGGAGCGUGCGGUUUAAUUGGAUUCAACACCGUAAACUCACCAGGGAAGACUGUUACAUGAAAGCCGAGAUGAAGACUCUGCUAGAUUUUCAG